rnacentral:misc_RNA from 1 species
GUCAAGAAGGUCAGUUCUUGAAUUUUUGUCUAUUUAUUAUGUUUAUUAUGUUUCAAGUUUAGACUGAUUUGAUAUCACUUUAUGCUGUGCAACUUCACAGGUAGCCAUCCAAUAAAGAGCUGUCUAUUUCAUUUGCUUUAACAAGGGUCAUUUCUGUUCAUAGUUUUGUGUUUCUCUUUAAUGGUGCUUCCUUUUAAGUCUUUUGGAUCUAUCUUAUUGGUUAUUUUCUUGCUCAUCUAGGCACCUGAAAAAUUUUCUGAGC